CUCUUAUCCAGAGAGGUGGAGGGACAGGCCCUAUGAAACCUCGGCAGCAGAUUCUUAAUGAACACUGUGCCAAUUCCUGCAACGCAAGUUGUAAAGAUGAGAC
rnacentral:ncRNA from 2 species